GUACUCUAACCCAACGCUCCGAAGCCCAAAUGCUCUCCCGUCAUCUCUGCCGAAAAAUUGAAGAAAUUUCACCAUCUCCUCUUAUCGGAGCUCUCCUUCAUUUUGCUCAAAAGUCUAAGUUUUAUCUGUUUACAACUCUAUUUUUUGCUCCUUUUUCGCAAUUUGUUUGUCUCUAAUGUUGAAUUUAAUUGGUUAAAAAUUCCCUUUAGGACCUUAAGUUAAAAUAAGUGCUACUAUUUCUUAUUAGAUUUUCAUUUUUCUAAUUAGAAGUCCUCUUUUAGUAUUUGAUUUCAAUGUGUUUUAGAUCUUUCGGGAAUUUUAAUUAUUAGACCAUUUGGUUGAUCUCGAAUUUGUUGCAAAAUAAUCAACUUUGUUGCUUCCAUUUUUGGCCUUUAGUUAUCAUUGGAUGUCUUUUUACAAUGAAAAGCUUUACACAAUUGUCGUAACAGAUUAAGAAUAGAACACAAUGGGUAUUUAAGCGGAGAAUGGUAAAGCGGCGGAUCCAUUACUCGAUUUUGAAGAAUGUGGUUGGUCAUAAGUGGUCGCCCCAAACGGAUGUCUCGGUCAUAAGAAAAGAACAAAAUAUAGAACACAAUGAAAACAAAUGAAAAAUGUUGUACCAACUAGUUGGGGUCAAAGUAAUUAUCUUCAGCAGGACAAGUGUGAGAUUUAGGCAACCUAAGUUUCUACUUAAGAUGGAUUAUUUGGUCUUAGAACUAAUAUGAGAUUGGGGGAUACUUGAUUGACUAUUAACGAUUCAUAGAGAGUUCGCCGAUGGACUAAUUUACAGUAAUCACAAUUACUAUAUAUGAAAUUCUAAAGGAAUGCGGGGGUUGCAGUAUAUAACCUCUACACUUGCAUAAAGUAGGAGUAAGGCUGUGCACAAACUAUCCUUUCCAGACCCUUAUUUGUAUGAUUACAC
rnacentral:lncRNA from 1 species